rnacentral:misc_RNA from 1 species
UAGUAAACGGCUCCCACUCAUUCUCUCCCGUCUCGCAAUCGCCACCACAUCCUUGUUUUUUUCGUGCGCAACAACAGACUCGUCAUCCACACGGCUGUCCAUUCACGAAAUACAACAGAAAUAAAGCAACAACGCAUUGAAGUAUCUUCUACCCACACCCCCUCCCUCCCUCCCUACGCGUACUCCAUCAAACCCUCAACAGCUUGCUUUCUUACCUUUUUGCCACCCUCACCUGCUACACGCUCACGAAACGCGCACUACCAUGAUGUCUGCCACCUCUUCUCAACUUUCCGUCUCGUGCGUAAAGAAGCGGGUGAAGGUGUACCGCCACGAACCCUAUGCGGCGAGCCUCAUCACCCCUGCUUCCCCUGCGGAGGCGGCGCUGGUGUGCUGCCACCAGCGUAGCCCGAAAUCCCCUGCUAGCUCUUACGCCACGUCGUCGCCUGCUCGCUCGAUCCUCGACGCGGCCCUGCCCAGCGCACAGGUUGCCGCCUACCCGUCUCACCACGCCGCUGCCAGCUUAGCCCUGCCAAUGCCCAUGGCGCACCCCGCACACACGGCCGUGUGGGUCGCCUUCAAGUACGGCCGCAAGCCCUUCGUGGCCGCCUUCCAGGUGUGCAUUGGUGAGAUGGUCAUCGUGGAGGGUGACCGCGGCAUCGACCUUGGCAUUGUCGACGACGCGUGCACGACGCCUCUUCCCGAGAAGGUGCUGUUUAUUCUCCGUCGCGCCACCGCUGAGGACACGACGCAGCAUCACAGGCGCACCGUGAAAGAGCAGGAGGCGCUGCAGACGAUGCGCUCGUUGGCGACGCAGGUGCACUGCCCCACCCACGUGGAGGAUGCCAUGUUUCAGCUGGACGGCAAGAAGAUCACCGUCAUCAUUUCACGCGCCUCGCGCUCCUUCGUGGACUUCCGCCGUCUGCAGCGUUCCCUCUUCGACGUGUACCGCUGCCGAAUCUGGUUUGCCUACCUCGACGAGAUCCAGGAGACGAUGAGCACCGAGGUCACCCGACCUCUGCGCCGCGGACAGCGCCGCUGCUCGUCAUCGAAUGAAGCGAGAGACAAAAAGAUACUUCCGACGGCGUCGUGCACAGCGGCAGUGUAAGGGAAAUCGAAGGCAUAACCGAAAAAAGAGACUUCGAACCUCACGCUUCCGGCUGGAGCGAAUGAGCACAAACCAACAACGACUCGAGGGCCUCUCGGUAAGAGAGAAAGGGGAGAGAGUUGCACACACAAACACACACGUUUCCCACAUGGAAAUCACGGCCCACUUGAAGGAACAACAAAACAAAAAAAAACGAUCUCGUUUGCACGCGCUGGCCUGCCGAAGUAUGCAGGCUCGAGAGGGAAGGCAGAAGAAGCUCAUUGCGUGGUGCACAGUAGCGGCACAAGCACCCACGCAUGAUUGCGUAGAAAGAGGAAUAAAAUGCAUGUGGGCUUACUCGUAUGCGCAGUUCUUUUCUUUUGCCCUGGUCUUUCACCUGCACUGCUGUCUCAAAGCCGCGUCUGUGUGUCCUCUCCUGCUCGUUUCACUUCAGUGGAGCUGGUGAGGCGUACGCGUGAGCGUGAGCGCGUGCGUGUCUCCGUGAUUUGAUGGUGUCUUCUUUCGCUCUAUUCUUUGUUGACCCCGUUGACACCUUGUCAUCACUUCGAAGCCGUAUCUGUGCAUAUUUGCAUGGGCGUCUUUCUUUUACUUGCUUCGAGGUACCUUGUCACCGUUUUCUUUUUCUUUCAGCCUUUCCAGGACUUCUUGGCUUUCCUACACUUUCUCUCCACGCGCGCUGCCCCUACUCGUGUUGGCAAGCGUUCUCUUUUACUCGUGCUCGCUGUCUUUCUCCUCGUUGAAAGUGGUCGAAGAGGAGCGGCAGAUACAAGCAUUUCUGCGCAAGCUUUUUUUCCCGGCUUCUCUCCCUCUCCCUCUCCCUUUGUUUCCUAGAAUGUCUGCUGUAUUUGUCUCGCUUUCUUUUCUUUUAAAAACAUUUUCCGCGUUUCGCUUUUCUUUCGUCUUUCUUCACAAAAAAAAAAGAUGGCUGAAGCAACGAUCGUUUCACUGGAUGGCGUUGCUGUAGUUGUUGGUCUCCUUCUCUCCCCCUCACCUCUUAUAUAUUAUCUCGCGUUCGCGUCUGUGUUCGUGUCGUCCGGCGCUUCAUCAUUUUUCUUUUGGUUUCCUUCUCGUGUUUUUUAUUUAUUUGUCGACUGGCGUCCUCGCUGC